AUUGAACGCUGGCGGCAUGCCUUACACAUGCAAGUCGAACGGUAACGGGCCUUCGGGUGCCGACGAGUGGCGAACGGGUGAGUAAUGCAUCGGAACGUACCUUUCAGUGGGGGAUAACGUAGCGAAAGUUACGCUAAUACCGCAUAUUCUGUGAGCAGGAAAGCAGGGGAUCGCAAGACCUUGCGCUGAUUGAGCGGCCGAUGUCAGAUUAGCUAGUUGGUGAGGUAAAGGCUCACCAAGGCGACGAUCUGUAGCGGGUCGUGAGAGGAUGAUCCGCCACACUGGAACUGAGACACGGUCCAGAUUCCUACGGGAGGCAGCAGUGGGGGAAUUUUGGACAAAUGGGGGGCGAACCCCUGAUCCAGCCAUGCCGCGUGAGUGAAGAAGGGCCUCGGUUGGUAACUACUUUCUAGCAGGGACGAAGCGAAAGUAGACGGUACCGUGCAG
rnacentral:rRNA from 1 species